UCGAGAAUUUUUCUCAAUGGGGGAAACCCUGACGCAGCAACGCCGCGUGAGUGAGGAAGGUCUUCGGAUUGUACAACUCUUUUGUUGGGGAAAACUGGUCAUGGAGCUAAUACCCCAUGAUUUGAUGGUACCCAAAGAAUAAGCACCGGCUAACUUCGUGCCAGCAGCCGCGGUAAUACGUAGGUGGCAAGCGUUGUCCGGAUUUAUUGGGUUUAAAGGGUGCGUAGGCGGCCUAUUAAGUCAGUUCUGAAAUAUCCCGGCUUAACCGGGAGGGUGGGAUUGAUACUGAUGGGCUUGAGUGGAAUCGAGGUAGGCGGAAUUGACGGUGUAGCGGUGAAAUGCUUAGAUAUCGUCAAGAACACCGAUAGUGUAGACAGCUUACUAGACUUCAACUGACGCUGAGGCACGAAAGUGUGGGGAUCAAA
rnacentral:rRNA from 1 species